ensembl:lncRNA
AUUAUUUCUAUGCGCCUUGAGCAUAACUGAUUCGCUGCUGCUUGGCACCGUUUCACAGACUUCAAAACCACACACUGCUCCGCUCAUGUAGAUCCUCUCCAGAGCGUUUCAAGCAAAAGGUUCUGAAAUAAAGUGCUGAAUUAAGAGCAUGGGAUUUGGAUAACGAAGGCAACAAUAUUGCUCGGGUUAUGAACACAUCUGCUCUUUGCACACCUGAUCCCUCGUAGUCUCUCCUACCCUUUGUAUCAACAGUGGUAAUGGGGAGUGUGUGUGUGUGUGUGUUCUCUCAACAGUAAGCCUGCCCCCCCACAGUGCCAGUCUAACAGAGCAGAGGAUCUGGGCACAGUGGGAGAGUCAUGCAGGCUUCUCCCUCUCUUUGUGUGUCUCUCUCUCAACCAAUUGACCAUCUCACACACACAUCGGUCAGGCUUUACUCCAUGCUGCGUCUGUGUGCUAACAUACGGCAUCCCGCGGCGGUGAGGCCUGGACAGAGGACACAGAGGGCAAAAGCUCAUUCAAGACCACGAAGGUGUGCUGCCUCGCAGCAGCUGUCACGCCCACCAGCGGUGGAGGGGCGAUAUUAGGCGAUUACUUCAAGUGGAGAUGCCGCCAUCUUUCGCACUGGCUCGUUGAAUUGGAGGAGGCAAGAGACUUAGCUAUCUAUAAUGGAUGAUGUCCUACCAGCUGCUGCAACAUAUUCCUGGGGAGAGCUCGGAAGAGAAGGACAGUCGAAAACAGAGAAACAGGUAAAGAAGCGGCACUGCUGCACUCGCUCAAGGCUGCGCCUGCUUUUUAAGCAACAGUGGAAAAGCACCAUGUCGAAGGUGGUUAAUGUUAGAUGAAACAUGUGGAUUCUCUACAGCUGUAUGCUUUAGAAAGAUUUGCAUCAUGGGUGGCCCAAAAAUAGCUUUUUAAAUCCACAACUGCAUUUCACUUUGUGGGCGUUUUGAUAAUAAUGUUGUUUGAUCAUUUUCAAAGAGAUCACAAUCUCAGCCCGGAAACCAAGACGCUGCAGCGGAGGCGUUUGAUUUUAAAAUCGGCGUCAACGCCGGCGCUGAACGAA